GUUUCAAUCCAAUCUAACUUACAGAUUGCAAGAAAAUGCCAUAAAUCCAUACUGAUGUAUCUUGAUCGCUGCCUAGAAGUCCUCGACUUACCACGCCAAAAGUCACCUUAUUCUAGUCAAUAGAUCUCCACAAUAUUACAGAAACUCCAAACAACCCCAAUCUGCUAACUUUCGAUAUCUCUUUAUACUAAUGGUCAAAUAUCCUCUAGCUGUUCCGUCAGAUUAACACAAACUUUUGUAUACACUCGGCAUACUCAACCCUCUAGAUACCUCUAAAUUUCAACCGCAAAAGUUUCUUCAAUUUCACAAAAUAGUCAAGAAUACCAACCUUAACUUUAUUACAAAAAAAAAUCCAAAUCACCAAUACAAACAUUGACUUUCAGCAACGAUUCCAAAAGUCCUCUCAAACCUUAUGAAACUCAAUUUGACACCUUUCGAAGGAGCUUUAAGCUAGCUCUCCUAU
rnacentral:lncRNA from 1 species